UACAGAGGUCUCAAGCGUUGUUCGGAUUCAUUGGGCGUAAAGGGUGCGUAGGCGGCGCGGUAAGUCGGAUGUGAAAUCUCGGAGCUUAACUUCGAAACUGCAUUCGAUACUGCCGUGCUUGAGGACUGGAGAGGAGACUGGAAUUUACGGUGUAGCGGUGAAAUGCGUAGAUAUACGGAGGAACACCAGGGGCGAAGGCGGAUCGCUGGGCCAACACUGACGCUGAUGUGCGAAAGCUAGGGGAGCAAACGGG
rnacentral:rRNA from 1 species